rnacentral:rRNA from 1 species
UAAAGAUUUUAAGGGCGUACGGUGGAUGCCUUGGCGAUAUCAGCCGAAGAAGGACGCGGUAAGCUGCGAUAAGCUACGGAGAGGUGCAAGCAACCUUUGACCCGUAGAUUUCCGAAUGGGGGAACCCGGCAGUGGUUAUGCACUGUCACCCAUACCUUUGAGUAUGAGGAGGGCACCUGGGGAACUGAAACAUCUAAUUACCCAGAGGAAAAGUAAUCAAACGAGAUUUUCUUAGUAGCGGCGAGCGAACGGGAAAGAGGCCAAACCGGAGCGGGCAACCGCACCGGGGUUGAGGACAGUCAUCAAGUGUAAAUGAGGUAGAAGAAUCGAGUUGGAAAGCUCAGCCGCAGAAGGUGAAAGCCCUGUAAUCGAAACCUUGCAUACAUGGGACUGUAUCCAGAGUACCACGAGACACGUGAAACCUUGUGGGAAGCAGGGGGGACCACCCUCCAAGCCAAAAUACUGAUAUCGACCGAUAGCGCAUAGUACCGUGAGGGAAAGGUGAAAAGAACCCCUGGCGGGGAGUGAAAGAGAACCUGAAACCGUAUGUCUACAAACAGUCGAAGUCUGUAUAUAUAUCAGGACGACGGCGUGCCUAUUGAAGAAUGAACCGACGAGUUACUGUUGCUAGCGAGGUUAAGUGGAAAACACGGAGCCGCAGCGAAAGCGAGUCUGAACAGGGCGUUUAGUUAGUAAUAGUAGACCCGAAACCGUAGUGAUCUAUCCAUGGCCAGGUUGAAGCACAGGUAAAAUUGUGUGGAGGACCGAACUCGUGAGCGUUGAAAAGCUUUGGGAUGAGUUGUGGAUAGGGGUGAAAUGCCAAUCGAACACGGAGAUAGCUGGUUCUCCCCGAAAUAGCUUUAGGGCUAGCCUCGAGGUUGAGAGUAUAGGCGGUAGAGCACUGAUCGGGCUAGGGGCCAUACCGGUUACCGAACCUAGUCAAACUACGAAUGGCUAUACUUAUACUCGGGAGUCAGACAGUGAAUGAUAAGGUCCAUUGUCAAGAGGGAAACAGCCCAGAACACCGACUAAGGUCCCAAAUGUUACACUAAGUGGCGAAGGAUGUGGAAUUUCCAAAACAACCAGGAUGUUGGCUUAGAAGCAGCCACCAUUUAAAGAGUGCGUAAUAGCUCACUGGUCGAGAGACUCUGCGCCGAAAAUGUCCGGGGCUAAAGUGUAAAACCGAAGUCGUGUCAUAUGCAGCAAUGUAUAUGGGUAGGGGAGCGUUCUCAUCGGGCUGAAGCAGUACCGUAAGGAGUUGUGGACUGAUGAGAAGUGAGAAUGUCGGUAUGAGUAGCGAAAAGAAUGGUGAGAAUCCAUUCCACCGAAAGCCUAAGGGUUCCUGAGCAACGAUCGUCGUCUCAGGGUAAGUCGGGACCUAAGCCGAGGCGGAAAAGCGUAGGCGAUGGACAACAGGUUGAAAUUCCUGUACCGGUGUGAAUCGUUUGAUCGAUGGAGUGACACAGUAAGGUAGGUCAGCACGCGAUUGGAAGUGCGUGUUUAAGCAAGUAGGUUGAGCUAUAGGCAAAUCCGUAGCUCUAAAAGCUGAGAUGUGAUGACGAGUUACUAGCGAUAGUAACGAAGUGAUUGAUCCUACACUGUCGAGAAAAGCUUCUAGGUAGAGACACAUCGCCCGUACCAAAACCGACACAGGUAGGCGGGGAGAGAAUCCUAAGGUGCGCGGGAAAACCCUCGUUAAGGAACUCGGCAAAAUGCCUCCGUAACUUCGGGAAAAGGAGGACUCAUGUAGUGUGAAGGGCAGUAACGCGUGGAGCAUGAAUGAGUGGCACAAGAGAGGCGCAAGCGACUGUUUACCACAAACACAGGUGCCUGCUAAAGCGAAAGCUGAUGUAUAGGUGCUGACACCUGCCCGGUGCUGGAAGGUUAAGAGGAGGGGUUAGACUUUGGUCGAAGCUCUGAAUUGAAGCCCCAGUAAACGGCGGCCGUAACUAUAACGGUCCUAAGGUAGCGAAAUUCCUUGUCGGGUAAGUUCCGACCCGCACGAAAGGUGU